CACCAGCGCCACAAGUGGGGACCAGUAUUAUUGGGCCUAAAGCGUCCGUAGCCGGACUGAUAAAUCUCUUGUGAAAUUGUUGGGCUUAACCUAACAGCGUGCAGGGGACACUGUCAGCCUUGAGACCGGGAGGAGUCAGAGGUAUUUAUGGGGUAGCGGUAAAAUGCUAUAAUCCCAUGAAGACCACCUGUGGCGGAGGCGUCUGACUAGAACGGGUCUGACGGUGAGGGACGAAAGCUGGGGGA
rnacentral:rRNA from 1 species